rnacentral:rRNA from 1 species
UACGUAGGGUGCAAGCGUUAAUCGGAAUUACCGGGCGUAAAGGCGUGCGCAGGCGGUUAUGUAAGACAGUUGUGAAAUCCCCGGGCUCAACCUGGGAACCUGCAUCUGUGACUGCAUAGCUAGAGUACGGUAGAGGGGGAUGGAAAUUCCGCGUGUAGCAGUGAAAUGCGUAGAUAUGCGGAGGAACACCGAUGGCGAAGGCAAUCCCCUGGACCUGUACUG